CAGCCGCCGCGGGAAUACGUAGGUCCCGAGCGUUGUCCGGAUUUAUUGGGCGUAAAGCGAGCGCAGGCGGUUAGAUAAGUCUGAAGUUAAAGGCUGUGGCUUAACCAUAGUACGCUUUGGAAACUGUUUAACUUGAGUGCAAGAGGGGAGAGUGGAAUUCCAUGUGUAGCGGUGAAAUGCGUAGAUAUAUGGAGGAACACCGGUGGCGAAAGCGGCUCUCUGGCUUGUAACUGACGCUGAGGCUCGAAAGCGUGGGGAGCAGACAGGAUUAGAUACCCCGGUAGUCCCUGUCUCUUAUACA
rnacentral:rRNA from 1 species